ensembl:lncRNA
CAAUUAUAAAUGCCCAGAUGCUGAGAACUCAUUCCUCUGUGCGGUGUUAGUAUCUUAUGUUUUGUAAUAUUUUUGAUGGAAAUGAUCUACUGGGUAAAAACUGUAAGUAGGCCCUUCCAGGGUAAUGCGGUGGUGAGGUGUGGGGGCAGUGGGAGCAUUUUAUAGCACUUGGAGGUCUCAGUCUUUGAGUGAGGCUUCUCAUUUUCCAACUCUUUCCCUUUCAAUGAGAUAGGAUGCCUGGAGGCAGCUGGGGUUGCAAAUUUCCUCCGCCAUUCCCCAGGUCAAUUAAGCUAAACCCCAGCUAUUUAGCUUUCAGUUAAAUGGUUUCUCCUGUGCACAGACCUUGUUAAGGAAUGCUCUGGUGGGUGUUUUUCAAAAUGGAGUCUUUUCCCUUUCUUCUGCCAGAAGCACAAGGGGGGUCCAUGCUAAGCCUCCAGCAGUUCAUCAGCUACAGUUCCAAUUUCCCUGUCUGAUUCCUGCAGAGCUUCUGCUCCUGUUUUCCCAGCACCAUUUCUGAAAGAGACUGCUGCUGCUAAGUCACUUCAGUCGUGUCCGACUCUGUGCGACCCCAUAGACGGCAGCCCACCAGGAUCCCCCGUCCCUGGGAUUCUCCAGGCAAGAACACUGGAGUGGGUUGCCAUUUCCUUCUCCAAUGCAUGAAAGUGAAAAGUGAAAGUGAAGUUGCUCAGUCGUGUCCGACCCUCAGCGACACCAUGGACUGCAGCUUUCCAGGCUCCUCCGUCCAUGGGAUUUUCCAGGCAAGAGUACUGGAGUGAAAGAGACUACUAUAAUAUUAUAAAUCUAUUAUAUUGCCUUUGCUCCUUUGUCAAGGACCAGUUGACUGUACUUACAUGGGUGUGUUUCUGAUUUUUCUAUUCCCUUGGCCUAUUUUUUUUUGCCAAUACCACACUUUUUUUUUUAUUACUGUAACUUCUUGAAAUGCAAGUAUAAUGGAUACUGGAGUUUUGACAUCUCUCUGGGAUUAUGAAUUAAGUUUUAAGAUGCAAGCCAUAUUGAUAGAGCAAAAAGAAGAUCUUAUGAAAGAUGCUUAAAUAUACAUUCUCUCAGUACUUCCUAAACUUCAUUCAUUGCCUACUAGCAAAAUUUUUGCACCAGAACUAUCAUGGUGCUAUUUUUCUAUUUUAAAAAAACAAAUAGAGCAAAACAAAAUUCAACAAUGUGUAUGGAAACUGGGUAUAUGAAAAUCUUCACUAAUGGCACACAUCAUGUUUAUUCUUCACAUCUGAAGUUAUUCUAAAUGUUUCAUUUUUUAAGGUUUGAGUUAUUCAUAGGCAUAUCCAAAUUCUAUGCCUGCAAUUUGUGCUAUCUAAACUAGAUUCCCAUAGGUCCACCCACUUUAGCUCCAACUAACAUAAUAAUAACUAGCAUGUUUUACAUGUAAAACUGGCACUAUAUAUAUAUAUACAUACAUAUAUAUAUAUAUACACACUAUGAAUAAAACAGUUGAAAAUAUUCUCACAAAGUUAUCUCAAGUGUACAUAAGGUAACUAAAAAUUUCAAUCUACCUAGGUCUGGGGGAUUUCUAGGACAUAGAACUUUUGAUGCUAAAAUUGGAAUAGUUUCAGACAAACCAGGAUUGUUGGUCACACUACAAGUCUAUAAUAUAUUUAGGGAAACAUGGCAUUAUCUCAUAUAAUAUUCUAUCAGCUACCUAGUUAGAUAUAAUUAUCCCUCUUCUAAAGAUGAGAAUCCAGGUACAAUGUGUAUGUGGUAAUAUGGCCACUAUUAAAUACUGAUAUCUAGGUCUGGCUGGCUUUAAAAUAGCUGAGAAUAAACCAAUUCUCACUUAAUAUCUUACAGGAAAAUCAAUUUUGACAAUGUGUGUUACUCAAACUCUAGCAAGAAACUGUGGGGCUGUCCAGUCCCACCUUAGAUUCCUCUUAAAGGGUUUAGAACACCACAGAGAGCCUUGCGUGAGUUCAGGGACAUAGUCUUCUGGCCCACCAUAAGGAUGCCACCCUGUCUUCCCCCUUGCCCUGUGUUCCUUGUCCGUGUUGUCACUGUCGGCCACCUCACUUCGGCCCCCUUCUACUCUAGCCCUAUUCAAGUGGCCCUCUCUCAACUGCUGAGUGUUUUCAUCUUGCAGAUAUUUUAGUAAGAUAUGAUUUUAUUGUAAAACCUUCCCUAGCUGGGUUCUUUGUAGGAAAAUUUGGGAAGAUCAGAGCUAGAUGGUAAAAUAAACAGAAAUAUUCAUCUUGCUAUGGACUAAAUAUUUGUGUUUCCCCAAAUUCAAGUGUUGAAACAUAAAACCCAAUGUAUUGCUUUUAGGAGAUGGGGCCUUUGGGAGGCACUUUAGGUCAUGAGGGUGGAGCCUUCAUAAAAGAGAUGAAUGCCUUUAUGAAAGAGACCCUCAGAGAAAGCCUUGCCCCUUAUGCCAUGUGAGGUUAUAGUGAGAAGGCACCAUCUAUAAACCAGUAAGUGGGCUCUCACCAGACAGUGAAUCUGCUUGAGACUUGAUCUUGAGCUUCCCAACUUCUAGAACUGGGAGAUGUAAAUUUCUGUUGUUAAUAAGCCACCUAGUCUAUGGUAUUUGUUACAGCAGCCCAAACAAACCAAGACAACUUAAAUAUUUUCAGAAUAUUUCUUCCUCUUCUCAUUUUUCUUGAACGAGUAUCCUUUCAACUUUCUUGCCUAAAAUGAAGUCUGCCUUUCCUUCCAAGAUCUUUUUUCAUAUGCACAGACAUAUGGCAGAUCUGUUUCACUGGCUUUCCAGAUUUUGCCAGAUAAUGUGCUUUAGAUAACUUGAAAUGCUGCUGGUCCAAAUUGAGAUGUACUGGAAAUGUAAAAUACACAUAGGAUUUUUAAGAUUUAGUGUGAAAAAAAGUAAACUAAAAUAUUUCAUAUUGAUUAUGUGAUGAAAUUAUAAUCUUUUGUAUACUUUAGAUUAAAUUAAAAUAUAUCAAGUUUUCAUUUGUUUUUAUUUUUUUUUUAAUGUGGCUACAAGAUGUGUAAAAUGAAAUGCUCACAUUUCUGUUGGAUAAUUAACUCUACAGUAUCAUGAUGGCCUCACAUAGCUGGGAUUAAAGAAUAUGUUUAUCAGGA